UCAACAGAAUAAUCAAGUCUGCCGCAUGUGAUAUUGUUAUUCUAGUGGAAACGAAAAUUAAACAAUCGCGUGUUCAAGCUCAAAAGAAUUUAAUAUGGUCGGACGCAGAACUGUUUACCAAUGACUCAAAUGAAACUUUUGGUAGAAUAUGGGUCUUAUGGCAUCCUAACUCUAUUAAUGCUUGGUUUUCUUCUACUACUGAUCAAUUCAUUCAUCUUAAGGUAGAGGACAAAAAGAAUGGCUGUCAAUUCAAUUUCACUGGUAUAUAUGCUUCAAACAGUAUGCAAGAAAGAAAUACUCUUUUGUCUGACCUGACUAAUAUUG
rnacentral:lncRNA from 1 species